rnacentral:rRNA from 1 species
UACGGGGGGAGCAAGCGUUGUUCGGAAUUACUGGGCGUAAAGGGCGCGUAGGCGGUUUGGUAAGUGAGAUGUGAAAGGCUCCGGCUCACCCGGAGAGAUGCAUCUCAUACUGCCAGGCUAGAGUACAGCAGAGGAAACGAGAAUUCCAGGUGUAGCGGUGAAAUGCGUAGAUAUCUGGAGGAAUACCGGUGGCGAAGGCGCGUUUCUGGGCUGUUACUGACGCUGAGGCGCGAUAGCCAGGGGAGCAAACGGG